GAUGAACGCUGGCGGCGUGCCUAAUACAUGCAAGUCGAGCGAACAGACGAGGAGCUUGCUCCUCUGACGUUAGCGGCGGACGGGUGAGUAACACGUGGAUAACCUACCUAUAAGACUGGGAUAACUUCGGGAAACCGUAGCUAAUACCGGAUAAUAUAUUGAACCGCAUGGUUCAAUAGUGAAAGACGGUUUUGCUGUCUCUUAUAGAUGGAUCCUCGCCGCAUUAGCUAGUUGGUAAGGUAACGGCUUACCAAGGCAACGAUGCGUAGCCGACCUGAGAGGGUGAUCGGCCAAACUGGAACUGAGACACGGACCAGACUCCUAAGGGAGGCAGCAGUAGGGAAUAUUCCGCAAUGGGCGAAAGAAUGACGGAGCAACGCCGCGGGAGUGAUGAAGGUCUUCGGAUCGUAAAACUCUGUUAUUAGGGAAGAAAAAAUGUGUAAGUAAAUAUGCACGUCUUGACGGUAACUAAUCAGAAAGCCACGGCUAACUACGUG
rnacentral:rRNA from 1 species